rnacentral:rRNA from 1 species
AUUAACGCUAGCGGCAGGCAUAAUACAUGCAAGUUGAACGGCAGCACAGGUAGCAAUACUGGGUGGCGAGUGGCGCACGGGUGCGUAACACGUAUGCAACCUACCCUAUACAGGCGAAUAACCUUUAGAAAUGAGGGCUAAUACGCCGUAGUAUUACAGAUGGGCAUCUAUUUGUAAUUAAAGAUUUAUCGGUAUAGGAUGGGCAUGCGUCCCAUUAGUUAGUUGGUAAGGUAACGGCUUACCAAGACGAUGAUGGGUAGGG